rnacentral:rRNA from 1 species
GGGGUCUACUUGUAAGCGACCCAGGCGCACCCAGAACCCUUUGUGACUUAUACCUUACUGUUGCCUCGGCGCAUGCCGGCCCCCCUGGGGGCCCCUCCUUCUGGAGGAGCAGGCACGCCGGCGGCCAACCUAACUCUUGUUUUUACACUGAAACUCUGAGAAUAAAACAUAAAUGAAUGAAAACUUUCAACAACGGAUCUCUUGGUUCUGGCAUCGAUGAAGAACGCAGCGAAAUGCGAUAAGUAAUGUGAAUUGCAGAAUUCAGUGAAUCAUCGAAUCUUUGAACGCACAUUGCGCCCUCUGGUAUUCCGGAGGGCAUGCCUGUUCGAGCGUCAUUUCAACCCUCAAGCCUGGCUUGGUGAUGGGGCACUGCCUGUAAAAGGGCAGGCCCUGAAAUUCAGUGGCGAGCUCGCCAGGACCCCGAGCGCAGUAGUUAAACCCUCGCUCUGGAAGGCCCUGGCGGUGCCCUGCCGUUAAACCCCCAACUUCUGAAAAUUUGACCUCGGAUCAGGUAGGAAUACCCGCUGAACUUAAGCAUAUCAAUAAGCGGAGGA